rnacentral:rRNA from 1 species
GAACGAGAAAGUGGAGCAAUCCAUGAGUAAAGUGGCGCACGGGUGAGUAACACGUGACUAACCUACCUUUUAGUGGGGGAUAACCUAGGGAAACCUGGGCUAAUACCGCAUAAUACCUACGGGUCAAAGCAGCAAUGCGCUGAAAGAGGGGGUCGCGGUCGAUUAGUUAGUUGGCAGGGUAAUGGCCUACCAAGACUGUGAUCGAUAUCCGGCCUGAGAGGGCGCACGGACACACUGGAACUGAAACACGGUCCAGACUCCUACGGGAGGCAGCAGUGGGGAAUUUUGCGCAAUGGGGGAAACCCUGACGCAGCAACGCCGCGUGGAGGAUGAAGUCCCUUGGGACGUAAACUCCUUUCGAUCGGGACGAUAAUGACGGUACCGGAAGAAGAAGCCCCGGCUAACUUCGUGC